rnacentral:ncRNA from 1 species
CAGAGUAGAAGCAUGCGCGUCAAGUGCCCAUGGGACGGGGAGUUGCCCGUGGGACGAAGGGCUUACCCGCGGUGUACGCUUCGCAUCCCGCUGC